GCGAUUGGAUGAGCCCAUGUCGGAUUAGCUAGUUGGCGGGGUAAAGGCCCACCAAGGCGACGAUCCGUAGCUGGUCUGAGAGGAUGAUCAGCCACACUGGGACUGAGACACGGCCCAGACUCCUACGGGAGGCAGCAGUGGGGAAUAUUGGACAAUGGGCGAAAGCCUGAUCCAGCCAUGCCGCGUGUGUGAAGAAGGCCUUUUGGUUGUAAAGCACUUUAAGCAGUGAAGAAGA
rnacentral:rRNA from 1 species